GACGAACGCUGGCGGCGUGCCUAACACAUGCAAGUCGAACGGAGAUAUGAUUUCGGUUGUAUCUUAGUGGCGAACGGGUGAGUAACGCGUGAACAACCUGACUCUAAGAGGGGGAUAACACUCGGAAACGGGUGCUAAUACCGCAUAAGACCACGACCUGGCAUCGGGAUGAGGUCAAAGGAGCAAUCCGCUGAGAGAGGGGUUCGCGUCCCAUUAGAUAGAUGGCGGGGUAACGGCCCACCAUGUCAACGAUGGGUAGCCGAGCUGAGAGGCUGAUCGGCCACACUGGAACUGAGACACGGUCCAGACUCCUACGGGAGGCAGCAGUGGGGAAUAUUGGGCAAUGGGCGCAAGCCUGACCCAGCAACGCCGCGUGAGGGAAGAAGGGCUUUCGGGUUGUAAACCUCUGUCCUUGGUGACGAAACAAAUGACGGUAGCCAAGGAGGAAGCCCCCGGCUAACUACGUGCCAGCAGCCGCGGUAAU
rnacentral:rRNA from 1 species